GGUGGCUCAGAGGUAGAGUGCUUGCUUUGCAUGCAUGAAGCCCUGGGUUCGAAGCCUCAGCACCA
rfam:Dipodomys ordii contig_42483, whole genome shotgun sequence.